rnacentral:rRNA from 1 species
UGAAUACGAGACGCUAAGGCGUUGAAGUAGUGUAUGUCAUACUUCCAAGAAAAGCUUGCACUGUCAUAGAUAAAAAACGCCUGUACCAUAACCGACACAGGUGGGUAGGUAGAGUAUACUAAGGGGCGCGAGAUAACUCUCUCUAAGGAACUCGGCAAAAUAACUCCGUAACUUCGGGAGAAGGAGUGCCUUAUUUAUAAGGCUGCAAUAACAAGAUCCAAGCAACUGUUUAUCAAAAACACAGGUCUCCGCUAAGUCGUAAGACGAUGUAUGGGGGCUGACGCCUGCCCAGUGCCAGAAGGUUAAAGAAGUUGGUUAGCAAUAGCGAAGCUGAUAACUGAAGCCCUGGUGAACGGCGGCCGUAACAAUAACGGUCCUAAGGUAGCGAAAUUCCUUGUCGGGUAAGUUCCGACCCGCACGAAAGGCGUAAUGAUUUGGAUACUGUCUCGGAGAGGGGCUCGGUGAAAUAGACUUGUCUGUGAAGAUGCGGACUACCUGCACCAGGACAGAAAGACCCUAUGAAGCUUUACUGUAACUUGAAAUUGAAAUUGGACUUUAUUCGCGCAGUAUAGGUGGGAGGCGUUGAUUGUAAUCUUGCGGGAUUAUUGGAGCCAUCAGUGAGAUACCACCCUUGUAAUGUUAGAUUUCUAACUUUGAAUCAUUAUCUGGUCAAAGAACAGUUUCAGGCGGGCAGUUUGACUGGGGCGGUCGCCUCCUAAACGGUAACGGAGGCGUACAAAGGUUUCCUCUGAACGGUUAGAAAUCGUAUCUAGAGUGUAAAGGCAUAAGGAAGCUUGACUGUGAGACCUACAAGUCGAGCAGGGACGAAAGUCGGUCUUAGUGAUCUGACGGUACUGAGUGGAAAGGCCGUCACUCAACGGAUAAAAGUUACUCUAGGAUAACAGGCUGAUCUCCCCCAAGAGUUCACAUCGACGGGGAGGUUUGGCACCUCGAUGUCGGCUCAUCGCAUCCUGGGGCGGUAGUACGUCCCAAGGGUUGGGCUGUUCGCCCAUGAAAGCGGUACGCGAGCUGGGUUCAGAACGUCGUGAGACAGUUCGGUCCAUAUCCGGUGUAGGCGUUAGAAUAUUGAGAGGAGCCUUCUUUAGUACGAGAGGACCGAGAAGGACAUACCUCUGGUGUACCAGUUAUCGUGCCAACGGUAAACGCUGGGUAGCUAUGUAUGGAGUGGAUAACCGCUGAAAGCAUCUAAGUGGGAAGCCCACCUCAAGAUAAGUAUUCUCAUC